rnacentral:lncRNA from 1 species
GUUACUCAAAAUUCAAGAGCUGUAUGGUUUAGAAAUUUAGAAACUCAAGUGAUUCCAAGGAAGGAAUAUUUGUUUUCUAAUUGCCAUUGGUGGCUGGAAGUCAUGAAACAGUAACCAGCUUAUUUUAGCAAUUUUCUGUUUAAUUCCUUUUAUGUAGAAAAGACAACAACUGCAGGCAUUAUGAGGGAACUAGGAGAGAUUAAAGAGAAAUCACUGUAGAAACAACUUUUCAGAUAACUGCAUCAUUCUUAGUACUCCCUGCUCCGAAAAUGGUUCAACUUGUCUGAAAAAUGAAGGGGUCAAAUAUGUGCACACAGCCACUUUGCCAAGUGUGGGAAAGAACCAGUGUCUGGAUUAGUUCCAAGCCAUCCAGACAGCUAUUUCAACUGGAACAAGUGACCUUUGGAACAGACUAGAACAUAACAGCCUGGCCAGACAGAGGGGAGGGAGUAGGCAGUUGGGAAGGACCCCAACAUGUUCUUCUGAAAGCUCAUUUGAAAUAAGA